AGCCGUUAUCCAGAAAUACAUAAGCUUUGGCUAUAAUACCUGAAAGAAGAAACACAUAAGCUCCACUGACUAAAACUGUAGUGAUAAGAGAACAGAGCAUCAUUCUUCAAGCAGCAGCGAAUUUGAAAGCGAUGAACCAGAAGAAGAAGGUGAGCCGCUGAUGUCAAUCGACCAGUGAUCACUGAAACAUCUUCAAUAGAAGAAGACGUUAAAGAAGGUGAGCUAUGGGACGAACUGGACCAAGAGCUGAUUCGACAGGAGAAUAAAAGAGCCAGCGGAGCCAUGGAAGAAGAAGCAGCAGCAAAUGAGAUAAUAAAG
rnacentral:lncRNA from 1 species